CAGAAGAACUUCCUGUUGACGCUCGUGCGUCCUGACAAUAGAUCCUGAGACUCCAGUCCGAGUUUACAUAGAAAAACAGAAACUAUUUCACAUGACAGCAUCAAACUAAACGCUCAUCCGAGAGGAGAAACCUCCCGUCCGCUGGAUUCAGAGUCUGAUCACAGUUGGAGCGAGUUUCCGAGGAGGAGGAAUGCCGUUCAGAUCAUUGUCUUGGUGUUUUAGACUGUAAAUAAACCGUGUUUCUCCCGGUAUGGCGGAGGCUCGAGCUGACGAUGACGAGGAGCGAAUGCGCGAGCCCGGCGGCGCGAGACGGAGCGCAGAACAUUCAGACAGAAACAAACCGGAUCAGCGCCUCUCCAGCCAAGGCCCGCUGUCCUCCAUCAGAGCUGUCAUCAAACGCACAUCGAGAACGAGCUCUCAUAGUGACCAUCAGCGGGAUCGGAGACGUCCAGAAAUCACCAUCCUCUCUGCUGAACCCCUGCCGUCCAAUACGUGGUUCCCAGGGGCUUCUGGGGCGUUUCCCCCAGCCCCGCCCCCAGCUCCGUCCACAUGGGCUGCUACCGCGGCAACAGUGCAGCUCCCGCCUCCUUCAUAUGAGCAAGUGAUCCGAGAAAAAAGCCGAGAACAGAAUAUUCCCUCUUCGUCUUCGUCCUCUUCAUCUUCUCGUCUCUCUACCUGCACCAUCGCCACUCAGACGGACACACACACCCCCGGCCCACGAUCCUCCGCUGCUCGUCCAGUUCACAAACCCCCCAAACCCCCGCGCCCCUCGUUGCCUCUCAAACACACGUCUGACCCGGACCGGUCCAACCCGAAGCCUGUAGACGCUCAACACGAGCAGUGUGGCGUUCAGACGGACUUCGAUGACAUCACCGGUGACAUCAGCCCUAUAGGCCCCGCCCCCACUAGCAAGUUUUCCACCCAGAGCGUUCUUGAUGACAUCAGUUCCAUAGGCCCCACCCCCACUAGCAAGUUUUCCACCCAGAGCGUUCUUGAUGACAUCAGUUCCAUAGGCCCCACCCCCACUAGCAAGUUUUCCACCCAGAGCGUUCUUGAUGACAUCAGUUCCAUAGGCCCCACCCCCACCGCCAAGUUUUCCACCCAGAGCGACCUCGAUGACAUCAUCCCUAUAGGCCCCGCCCCCACUACCAAGUUUUCCACCCAGAGCGACCUUGAUGACAUCACCGGUGACAUCAGCCCCAUAGGCCCCGCCCCCAACACUAAGUUUCCCCCCCUGAGAGACCUUGAUGACAUCAUUGGUGACAUCAGUUCCAUAGGCCCCACCCCCACCGCCGAUUUUUCCACCCAAAGCGACCGUAGUGACAUCAGCCCCAUAGGCUCCGCCCCCUCCGCCAAGACCUACUUCGAUUUCCCAGUCGAACCCAUGAAAGAGGAGGCGAGGGCUCGUCCCAGACCUCGACCUCGCUCCACGGUCGCCCUGCGACCCGUCGUUCUAGACCAGCCAAUCACGAGGGAGGUCAAAGUUCAGACGCUAGUGCGUUUAAAGGACGAUGGGGCCGACAGCGUGUUCGCCGGGUUCGACGACUCCCCGUCGAACAUCUCCAGCAAAUACCUGCAGGACCUGCUGGACGUGUUCGGCUCGGACGAAACUCGAGAAAGCAAAGCGAGUGAUGUAGAAGAUGAGAAACAUACAUCUGAACCGUUAAAUAGACCGCAACCACGGCCUAGAACUCUGAAGUCCAAACCUCAACUCGCCCCAAAACCAUCCGUCUUUGACGUUUUUGACACUACCGUUGAGCAGAACCCAUCCAAAGCCCCGAGUCCACCAGUACCAGCACCCAGACCACUUCUGAACAAACCCCGGAGUCCGUCAGAGUCCUGUUCAUCCACCAAACCCUCAGCCGCCACCCGACCUGCCACUCCAUCUCAGAGGAGGAGCUCAGAAGGUCACGCUGUGAACACUGCGGUCAAGAAGACGCCUGUGACGCCGGCCGACAGGAACGUCGGGAAACGUCCAUCAGUUCCCAAACACUCCCGGCCGCCUCCACCGGUGCUCAGGAAUAUGGCGUCCCCCUCACAGACUGCUGCGGAUGUUUCCAGAGCCGCCGACGCCUCAGUUCCUCCUCUGCCCCCGAGACCCAGUGGUGGAAGACUCCUCCCCCUUCGCCCUCCUCCAGUCAAAGUGGCCAAACCUGCAGGCUCCGCCUCCUCCCCCACUGCGACCAAUCAGCUGCCAAGCAGCAGAACUCCGAAGAGAGCCCCGCCCCUCCCUCCCCGACCGAAACCGGGACAUCCGCUAUAUAAGCGCUAUUCUGUGAGUGUUUCUGGAGGAUUUGAGAAGAACUGCAGAGCACAGUUCCUCAAGCAGAAACUGAGGAGGAGAAUAUCAGCAAAGAGCAAGAGGAACCAUCGGAGGAAACAUCUUCCCAUGAAGAGGAGCAGCUGAUUGUCCUCGAUGAUACAGACAUCCUAGAAACACAGUCGAAUACACUCUGCGCCUCAGAGGUCAAAGGUCAAGAUGUGACGGUCAGUGGGGUUCAGCUGGAACACACGCCCUCAGAGCAGCAGAUCCAACAAAACAGGUUUGUUGUGGCCCGUUUUGCGUUUGAGGGGGGGGAGGGGGAGCUGACUUUCAGUGAAGGUGAUGUCAUCACUCUUGUGGAAUAUGCAAAUGAGGAGUGGGGGCGUGGCAUUCUCAACCGACAAAUGGGAAUCUUCCCUCUCAGUUUCAUCCAGCCUACAGAGGAAUCUGAUGUGUCGCCGGGGAAACCGGUUCGGGAAUCUCCUGGAGGGCGGAGCAGAGGACGGGCACUUUAUGAGUUCAGGCCGGAGUGUGAGGACGAGCUCUGUCUCAAGGCAGGAGACCUAGUGUGUGAUUUGGAGGAGAUCGAUGCCGAAUGGUUCGUUGGAGAAUCCGGUGGGAAGCGUGGCAUCGUCCCUAAAAACUACAUCCAAGUGUUGCUGGACCCCUGACCCCUGACCCCCUGACCCUGUCCUGUCAUGUGCCUGAUGAGCGUUUCUACAUUUUGCCUUAUUUAGAUGUAAUACACUUAAAGAAGGUCAGUGACGAGAUGUUAGUUUGUGAAGUGUAUGGAGAUCUCCUGUAUUGUACUGACUCCAGUCUGUGUGUGUGUGUGUGUGUGUGUGUGUGUGGCUGUAUGAAUUUGUUUACAGAGUUUUAACCCACAUUAAACUCAUCCGUUACAUGAA